CAUAUUACCCUGAAUGUCCCCAAUCUUGUCUGAUCUCGGAAGGUAAACAUGGUUGGGCCUAGUUGGUACUAGGCUGGGAGAACAAAUAGGUC
ensembl:rRNA 5S_rRNA 5S ribosomal RNA